rnacentral:lncRNA from 1 species
AAUAAACUUCAGGAUUGUGAGUCUUGACAUUUCUCACUGCCUAAGCCCAGCUUUAGCCUGGCCUCUGGAUGUAAACAUUUUGUAUUA